rnacentral:rRNA from 1 species
AUUGAACGCUGGCGGCAUGCCUUACACAUGCAAGUCGAACGGCAGCACGGGGCAACCUGGUGGCGAGUGGCGAACGGGUGAGUAAUGCAUCGGAACGUGCCAUUGAGUGGGGGAUAACGUAGCGAAAGUUGCGCUAAUACCGCAUAUUCUGUGAGCAGGAAAGCAGGGGACCGCAAGGCCUUGCGCUCUUUGAGCGGCCGAUGUCAGAUUAGCUAGUUGGUGAGGUAACGGCUUACCAAGGCGACGAUCUGUAGCGGGUCUGGGAGGAUGAUCCGCCACACUGGAACUGAGACACGGUCCAGACUCCUACGGGAGGCAGCAGUGGGGAAUUUUGGACAAUGGGGGCAACCCUGAUCCAGCCAUGCCGCGUGAGUG